rnacentral:rRNA from 1 species
UACAGAGGUCUCAAGCGUUGUUCGGAUUCAUUGGGCGUAAAGGGUGCGUAGGUGGCGGGGCAAGUCUGGUGUGAAAUCCCGGGGCUCAACCCCGGAACUGCACUGGAUACUGCCUUGCUAGAGCACUGGAGAGGGAACUGGAAUUUACGGUGUAGCAGUGAAAUGCGUAGAUAUCGUAAGGAAGACCAGUGGCGAAGGCGAGUUCCUGGACAGUUGCUGACACUGAGGCACGAAGGCUAGGGGAGCAAACGGGG